UACGUAGGUGGCAAGCGUUGUCCGGAAUUAUUGGGCGUAAAGCGCGCGCAGGUGGUUCUUUAAGUCUGAUGUGAAAGCCCCCGGCUCAACCGGGGAGGGUCAUUGGAAACUGGGGAACUUGAGUGCAGAAGAGGAUAGUGGAAUUCCAAGUGUGGCGGUGAAAUGCGUAGAGAUUUGGAGGAACACCAGUGGCGAAGGCGACUGUCUGGUCUGUAACUGACACUGAGGCGCGAAAGCGUGGGGAGCAAACAGG
rnacentral:rRNA from 1 species